rnacentral:sRNA from 1 species
AUAUUUUUGGUAUAAUGAUGAUGCAAACAGUGAUAGUGGCUUACUUUUCUAAAAGGUAGGUGGUGCCUAUGGUGUAAAAACCUUCAUGACCGUAUCCUUCAGAAAAGGAGUACAAAGUGUCUAUCAAAGACACUUUAAUGUUAAUGCUUAUGUUUGGCAAUUUGAUAAUUGCCCUCAUAGCAUUAA